UACGUAGGUGGCAAGCGUUGUCCGGAUUUACUGGGCGUAAAGAGCGCGCAGGCGGUCGUUCAAGUCGCGUGUGAAAGCCCCCGGCUCAACUGGGGAGGGUCACGCGAUACUGAUCGACUCGAAGGCAGGAGAGGGUAGUGGAAUUCCCGGUGUAGUGGUGAAAUGCGUAGAUAUCGGGAGGAACACCAGUGGCGAAGGCGACUACCUGGCCUGUUUCUUGACGCUGAGGCGCGAAAGCUAGGG
rnacentral:rRNA from 1 species